CUUCAGUCGUGUUUUUUGAUAUUUUUGUUAUUUUGUAAUCGAGUACCUUUUUAAAGGUCUAAUGGCUCCCAUCAGGUGUUGUGUGCAGUCGGUUGAAAAAUUCAACGAGUAAACAUAUAUUUAAUCCAAAUUAAAUACUCAUAUUUCUAUGUAAAAUGUCACAUUAUUGUAUAAAUAAAUAAUUAAGAAACAAAA
rnacentral:lncRNA from 1 species